UACGUAGGGAGCAAGCGUUGUCCGGAAUUACUGGGUGUAAAGGGAGCGUAGGCGGGAUGGCAAGUUGGGUGUUAAAUCUACCGGCUCAACUGGUAGUCGCACUCAAAACCGCUAUUCUUGAGUGAAGUAGAGGCAGGCGGAAUUCCUAGUGUAGCGGUGAAAUGCGUAGAUAUUAGGAGGAACACCAGUGGCGAAGGCGGCCUGCUGGGCUUUUACUGACGCUGAGGCUCGAAAGUGUGGGGAGCAAACAGG
rnacentral:rRNA from 1 species